AUGGACAAAUCACGAGGGUAUCUUCACUCUUCUUGCCUAUUAUCUUCUCUCUUUGAAUAUCCACCUUCACCUCUGAACCUCCGGCUUCAACCGUUCUCAACAAAAAAACUUAGAACCUUUCAUCAUCAUCUUCUCCGAUCUACACCUCAACCUCCGAUCUACUUCAUCACCCGGCAUCAGCAUCAUCGUGGAUGCACGCUACUUCCUUCAUCUUUGUCUUUAUAUGAUUCACAUUAA